UUUACUAUUUCUCUCAUGAAAAUAUAGUGGUGUAUGUGACUGAGGCUCGAUCAUUGUCUGCAACUUACGAUUUGCAUACACCUAACUUGUUCACCGGCAAGAGAGGAAUUGUGACACUAGACACAAUUUUGGGUACACUGGAUCGAACUUACGUUGGAACGUAACCAAUAGAACUGUAUCUGCCUCUAGUAUAUGGAAUCUCGACCCGUCUAAGCUAUUUGAAACAGAGGUAAAGAAUGAUAAGCUGGAACAAUUGGAGGCCACAUUGCUCUAUACUUUGCUAAUGAUCAUGUUGUUUUUGCAAGCCGGUGGCUCCCUCUCCCCAGUCAAGACUUGGCCCAUUGAUCCAUGGUGGAAAACCUUUUCAUGUUGUGCCCCUUGCAGCAAGAACUCUUGUAAGAGAUGGUUAGUUGUAGUCAUCAUAACAUUGACUUGUCUACUAAUCAUGGCUAUCAAUCUUGCGGGAGUAACAAGGAGUCUAAAAAAUUCCCAACCUGAUUGGAUUGGAGAUCCAUGCUUCAACCAUCAGUAUCGCUGGGCAGGAAUUACAUGUUCUGAAGGCUCUUGAAUUCGUGUGGUUACUUUAAACCUUUUGAGUAUGGACCUUUCAGGAUCCUUAUCACGUAGCAGUUCUUGACAGAGUAUGCUCCCUGAAUAUAGUGUUUGACAUUUAUUUAUCAAUUUUGUUUCUGGAUUCAUCUGCUAUCUCACUUGGCAGUUCUUGACAGGCAUUUGGAAGAUAAUAACUUCAGUGUGGUGAGAUUUCAUUGUCACUUGGAACUUUGCCUUGCUUGAGGGAACUGUAUGUGUACUUGUAUGAUUUUAUUGCUAAAGAUUCAGUGCUGUUCCUUGGCUCAUGAAAAUUAUAGUAAAGAUUGUUGUUUAUCCUAAAAUCUAUAGUAAAGAUUCAGUGCUGCAAAGUUCUUGAUGUAUAAUUUUCAUUCUUCUGAUUGCAUAGUAGAAAUGUAGAUCUUUUCAAGCCCACCGCUCAUUAUUUUAUUCGUAAGUUAGGCCACAUAAUGACAUAAGUAGUAGCCAUGUCUUGUUUGGUUACUGCAUGUUGAUGAAAAGAUGUAAACAAUGCUUGUAGCUUCUGAGUUCAAAGUUGAGUUUGAGAGGCAAAAAAAUUGGAUGAAUAACUAAUUCUCAUAAUUGUUGUCCUCGCUUGGUCUGCAUCCUUGAUAUAUCAUACAGUUUGAUCAACGCUCCCAUUUCUUUAAGUUUUGUAGGAUUUUUCACCUUUUCUCUGCUAUUUUGCUUCAUCUUAUAUGCCUUUAUCCUACUUAUUCGUAAAGAAAAUUUCUAAGAAUUUGAAACUUUAUAGUAUCUUCAGUUGAUUUCAUGACUUGAUGAACAUUUUUUUAUUGAAUUGUAAAUUUAACAGCAAUUAAUUAAUCUGUUGUUCAUUUGGCUUGAUUUCCUCAAAGUCCUACUAAUAAGGAAAUACCCAAAAACUUUUGUACAUUGGUUGAUCAGAUUUUUUCAUGAAACCAUGUAUUGGGACCGCCAUCCCCUUAGCAACUUUGUUUCUCUAAAGCUACUUGUUUGCUCGUGUAAAGAGUAGUGUUUGGGGAAGAACAGUUAAACAUUUUGCCUUGUAAGUUCUUCAAUGAAACUGCCCUACCCAUUAGCCUUCUUUGUUGUAGUAAACUGUAUGAGUUUCCAUAUCCGGAUGGUUCAAGUGACUUUAUUUAUUGAUUUCUUGUCCACGUUCAAUCAGCCCAUGUACUCACAGACCGAGACUACUGUUCUCCCAUUCCUUAAUUCUGUGCAAUUAUUGCCCAUGUAUUCUUAAUUUAUAUGAUUUUGAGCUUGAUAAAGAAUUCUCAGCUUCCCUAUGUUUCCUGUAUUAGGAUGUGGUUCUGUUCCUCCCGUUGAAUUCCCUCCCCUUGGUCGUUUACUUUAGUGGGUGUUAUAGCUGAUCCACUCUGUUUGUUGUUGCAGUCAUCCAGGCUUAGCUGUAUCAACGUGCAGAUACAGCUUCUGCUUCACCUCUUCGGAAUUCAUAAAUGGUGGGGGAUCAUUGAGCUCUCACAUAUUGUGUUACCUAAACUCAUUGCUAGCAGAUAUUGUCCGUUUUGAUCCAUUAUUAUAUCACUGUCAGCCUCAUUGUUGUAAAACGCAUUUGCUAGAGAGAGGUUUCCACACCCUUAUAAGAGAUGUUUCGUUCCCCUCCU